rnacentral:rRNA from 1 species
CGAGCGAGGUAGCAAUACCUAGCGGCAGACGGGUGAGUAACAUGUGGGAAUCUGCCUUUUGGUUCGGAACAACACGGGGAAACCUGUGCUAAUACCGGAUAAGUCCUAACGGAGAAAGUUUUAAUGCCAAAAGAUGAGCCCGCAUUUGAUUAGUUAGUUGGUGAGGUAAUGGCUCACCAAGACAAUGAUCAAUAGCUGAUCUGAGAGGAUGAUCAGCCACAUUGGGACUGAGACACGGCCCAAACUCC